rnacentral:rRNA from 1 species
GAUGAACGCUGGCGGCGUGCUUAAUACAUGUAAGUCGGACGGUGCGUUAGCAAUAGCGCAUAGUGGCGAACGGGUGAGUAACGCGUAGGUGACCUACCCCGAAACGGAGGAUAACAGGACGAAAGUCCUGCUAAUACUGCGUAAUCUUUAUCUAGUUAGAGAGGAUAAAGGAAGCCGGAAGGCAUUUUGGGUAGGGGCCGUGCGACCCAUCAGCUAGUUGGUAGGGUAAAAGACCUACCAAGGCGACGACGGGUAGGGGGCCGUGAGAGGGUGAUCCCCCACACUGGCACUGAAACACGGGCCAGACACCUACGGGAGGCUG